rnacentral:rRNA from 1 species
UAAUACGGAGGGUGCAAGCGUUAUCCGGAUUCACUGGGUUUAAAGGGUGCGUAGGUGGGCAGGUAAGUCAGUGGUGAAAUCUCCGGGCUUAACCCGGAAACUGCCAUUGAUACUAUCUGUCUUGAAUACCGUGGAGGUGAGCGGAAUAUGUCAUGUAGCGGUGAAAUGCUUAGAUAUGACAUAGAACACCAAUUGCGAAGGCAGCUCACUACACGAAUAUUGACACUGAGGCACGAAAGCGUGGGGAUCAAACAGGAUUAGAUACCCUGGUAGUCCACGCCCUAAACGAUGGAUACUCGACAUACGCGAUACACAGUGUGUGUCUGAGCGAAAGCAUUAAGUAUCCCACCUGGGAAGUACGACCGCAAGGUUG